AUUGAACGCUGGCGGCAGGCCUAACACAUGCAAGCCGAACGGUAACAGGAAGCAGCUUGCUGCUUUGCUGACGAGUGGCGGACGGGUGAGUAAUGUCUGGGAAACUGCCCGAUGGAGGGGGAUAACUACUGGAAACGGUAGCUAAUACCGCAUAACGUCGCAAGACCAAAGAGGGGGACCUUAGGGCCUCUUGCCAUCGGAUGUGCCCAGAUGGGAUUAGCUAGUAGGUGGGGUAACGGCUCACCUAGGCGACGAUCCCUAGCUGGUCUGAGAGGAUGACCAGCCACACUGGAACUGAGACACGGUCCAGACUCCUACGGGAGGCAGCAGUGGGGAAUAUUGCACAAUGGGCGCAAGCCUGAUGCAGCCAUGCCGCGUGUAUGAAGAAGGCCUUCGGGUUGUAAAGUACUUUCAGCGGGGAGGAAGGGAGUAAAGUUAAUACCUUUGCUCAUUGACGUUACCCGCAGAAGAAGCACCGGCUAACUCCGUG
rnacentral:rRNA from 1 species